GUUGUAUGGUCAAGUAAUGAAGUGCACAUGGUGGAUGCCUUGGCAGUCAGAGGCGAUGAAAGACGUGAUAGCCUGCGAUAAGCGUCGGUGAGGUGGCAAUAUCCUGUGACCCGGCGAUUUCUGAAUGGGGAAACCCAACCAACAUAAGUUGGUUAUUACACAGUUUACUGUGUAAGGCAAACCGGGAGAAGUGAAACAUCUCAGUACCCCGAGGAAAAGACAUCAAAUGAGAUUCCGUAAGUAGCGGCGAGCGAACACGGAGGAGCCGAUCAAUUUUACAGUAGCAAAAUGGCGUGGGAAAGCCAACCAUAGUAGGUGAUAGUCCUGUAUGCGAAACUGUUUAAGCGACAUAUUAAGUAGGGCGGAACACGAGAAAUUCUGUCUGAAGAUGGGGGGACCAUCCUCCAAGGCUAAAUACUCCUGACUGACCGAUAGUGAACCAGUACCGUGAGGGAAAGGCGAAAAGAACCCCUGUUAGGGGAGUGAAAUAGAACCUGAAACCGUGUGCAUACAAGCAGUCGGAGCCCGACCACUUAAUCGUUUUGAGGAUAACAAUGAAUUUUUACUACGUCUAUGUCAUACAAAACGUGGAUAAUCAUGAUGAGUUUUAUGUUGGUUUUACCACCAGUUUAAAACAAAGAAUUGAUGACCAUAAUAAUGGCACAACUUACUCAACCAGAGCAAGAACAUGGCGUAUUGUUUAUUGUGAAGCCUA
rnacentral:sRNA from 1 species